CACGUAGGGCGCAAGCGUUGUCCGGAAUUAUUGGGCGUAAAGAGCUCGUAGGCAGUCUGUUGCGUCCGCUGUGAAAACCCGGGGCUUAACCCUGGGCUGGCAGUGGAUACGGACAGACUAGAGGUAGGUAGGGGAGAAUGGAAUUCCCGGUGUAGCGGUGAAAUGCGCAGAUAUCGGGAGGAACACCGGUGGCGAAGGCGGUCUCUGGGCCUACCUGACGCUGAGGAGCGAAAGCGUGGGGAGCGAACAGG
rnacentral:rRNA from 1 species